AUUGAGAUAACUGGGUAAAAUGGUGAUUUUAUUCCUAGUUUUCUGAGGAAUCUCCAUACUGCUUUCCAGAGUGGAUUCAUCAAUUUGCAGUCCCACCAGCAAU
rnacentral:pre_miRNA from 1 species